CCUGAUGUGUGUGUGUGUGUGUCAUAAAAUAUCUUGUCGUUUAUGUAUAUUGCUUCCCUUUUAUUCAUGUACUACUUCUCUAAAUGCAAGCCACUUCUUUUCUAUUGUGGGCGUUAUCUUUCGAUGUUAAUGGACUAAAAGUCUAAAGCCUUUCCUUCUGCAAAAUGAUGAUAUUAGAGCUAUGCGUCUUAUAAUCCCUACUGUAUAUGACAAUGUGAUAUUCAGUUAUAUUAUGUUCGAAGCAUGGCAUUUUUCCUUCCUUUUUUUUGAUGAAUCACGUGGUAAAUUAUGAUGUACAAUGACCGCUCUUGCAAAAAAAUUGAAACUCAGAGAGGGGUUCUACAACAAGCAAGGUUUUAGGAUAUGAAUCUAAAUGAACUCUUCUUCAGCCCAGUCCUAGCACAAACUGAUCAGAGAAACAAUGAAGCAGCAACGCAUGGGUCCCCUUCUUGCACACAAGAGUUGUGUUUGUGCAAGUCAUGAACCUUUUUUCCAUCACUGGAUUUGAACAUGUUAAUUCUGAGCUUCUGUUCGGAGUUUAUAUUCUAGCUUUCAUGCGAAGUAGUUACAUUUAUCGCAUGGAAGAUGAUGCCCAUAGAGUGGAAGGUGGGGAGAUUCGGACUUUGGAGGAUGUAAAUAUGCUCAAAGUUUUUCAAUUAAGGUGAGCCUUGCAGAACUAUCUUUUAAUGUUUCCAGUUUAUCCUAAAGUAUUUUAGCCUAAAUUUCCUGUCAUUUAGAUAGAUGUUGGUUAUGCUAAUCUGACUGGUAAGUUAUGGUAUUGUAGCUACUGCACAUGUCCCUCGAUUUCCCAGUUCGAUGUGUCAGGAUGCUAAUAUGGGUGUUACUAUAUUGCCUUCCAGUUUAUCCUAAAGUAUUUUAGCCUAAAUUUCUUGCCAUUUAGAUAGAUGUGGGUCAUGCUAAUCUGACUGGUGGGUUAUGCUAAUCUGACUGGUAAGUAUGGUAUUGUAGCUACUGUACAUGUCCCUCAAUUUCCCAGUUCCAUGUGUCAGGAUGCUAAUAUGGGUGUUACUUUAUUGCCUUCCCUUUUGUAAUAUGUUAUGUUUGCAAUUUCUCAGGGCCGCCGUCGCCGCCGUCUGUAGCAACGCAUAGGCCGCUUGCCUAGCUCCCUCAUUCCGAGCACGACACCAUGCGUCGGAGCUUGUUGGGAGGCACGGAAGGACGAACAGAGUUCUAUCGGUGAUCUGUGUUGUCUCUGACGAUGUCAUAGGAUCUGCGGUGCACGUGGACAAGGCAAUGGGGCCGCCAACCUACCUCCUCUUCACCACAGCGCGUGUAGAUUCUUGGGCUACCUCAACUUGGAUCAGCUUUUUCAAGAGGGGAUGCUUGCCAUUCAGAGGCGUGGCAGCAUCAACGGCUUCCGACGCUCCUCGGCUCAGCCGCCGCCGACCUACCAUGCCCACGAUCCUUGCGAGCAGUGUCACUCCUUCCCCUCACCGUGGUGCAAUGGAUUGAUUGAUUGAUGAAUCAAUCACAUCUGCUAGAAGAAGAAAGAAUCAGGCGUGCAUCAUGGAUGAUGGAUCUUGGAGUGCAGGGUGAGAACAAAGGUGAUUUAAUGAGUGAUAUAAGCAAACUCAGGCAUGUUUCCUUUCCUCACAUUUUGAAGAUCCAAGCAGAAUGGAUCUAUUAUUAGUAGCAUCGUCACCUUCAAAUCCAAUGUUUUUUGAGGUCACUCCUUUGUUUGUCUCUUCCAAACUAAUCUGGAUUUAACAGUAGAUAAUUACACCCUCCGUUUAGGUGUGUAAGUCAUCUUACGAAAACCAAAUAAUCCCAAAAUACUAAGGCGCGGUGCAUUAACUUUUACCGCAUUUUUCGUUUCUUCACAUAUCAACCAAUAAGAGACAAGGGGUGUGCAUGCUUUUAAUGACUUGAGACUACCAAACACGACAUGCAGUGGUUAGUUCAUUGCAUGCAAUGCUAUUAAUUAGCAAAUAAACAUUAAUGAUUCUCGUUUUCCUCUCCUCCUUGGUCAUGGUGCACAACUUAAGAUGACUUACUCACCUAGAUGGAGGGAGUACUAUUUUACCUACUUGAUGCUUAAUGCUUGUAUUUCUUAAAUUUUCCUAGGAGAAUGGGAAUUACAUCUAGAGCUACAGUUUGUGAUUUAAGGAUCUGCUAGGCAUGUCAUGGCAAGUAAUUUUACUUGGCAACUGCCAUGCUCCAGCAUAAAUCAUGUUCUGUUGUAGCACCUGGCAUUUAGGUACCUUUGAUUCAUGGAUGUACGAUAGGCCUGAAGCUUGAGCAGUUCAUAUUCGACAUAUUCAUUUAAUCCCUGUCCAUGACACAUUUUGAGGUGCUACACGAAGAGGAAUUUGCGCCAGUGAAGAACGCAAAUGGAACAACCUAUGACACCUGAUGCUACUCCAACUACAUAGCGGAUGGGUAAUUUCUCACCAUUUCCUGUACCCAGAAACUUGUAGAGUUAAAUUACAAGUCAGGCCUUUCAGCAUAGAACUUUUUUGAUCAUCUUUCUCAUGAUUCCUUUUGUUGGGGAUAUAACUAUUUGUGUAAGCCGCCCAGGAGGGGCCGAGUUAUGCAAAGAGGACUCACCAGAAAGAAGCCCAAGACCAAAGCAUGAAGAUGGCGGUUCAUAGAGGGCUUAAGGC